CAAUGACAUUGAAUCAGUCAAUAGGGAAGCCAUAUGGCAAGAAAUGGAAGUCUCUGGCCAACAGACAAUGAAGUGAAGUCUGUCAGUAACGCUAGUGAACUUGGAAGCAGAUCCUUCUGCCCAGUCAAGUCUUGAGAUGACUGCAACCCUAGCUGAUAUUUUGACUGCUACCCCGACCCUAACUCAGAACCAACUGGAACAUAUACAUUUCGGUUUCAACAUAGCGGCAGCCAGAGCGGUCCUCUUAAAGUGGAAGUGAUAUUCUGCUUCUCUCCUGCUUAAAACCUUCAGAUCUCCCUAUCUCCCUAAAAGCAACAACCAAAGUCCUUCCAGGGGCUACAUGAACACCUGCAUCGUCUGGAGUCUGCUAUGACUCAGCCCUCAAUGCCUACAAUACUCAUGCAUUAAGAACAUAUUGAGUGGGUAUGGAAAGUCUCUAAAUCUUCUGGUCCACGCUUUAGCAAACACGUCUCAAUAUAUUCUACUUCUACAGAUGAGUAACUUCAUUCUUGAUGUUUUGUUUGUACUGAUUUCGGUUUUUCACUGAGAAAUUGAACUCUACUUUUUCUUGUCUUUAAUUUCUGGAAAGCACCUACAAAAUUUCCCAAACACUGACUACAUUCCCCUAAAUGCUUUAAAAUCGGUAAUUUUUUUAGAGACCUUAACUUUUACAGAGUUAAUACUAGAAUACUUACAAAUGUCACUAUAUUAUGGCCAGGAUUUGUAUCAAAAUAAUGGAGGUAGAGGUUCAGGAGUAGACAUGAGAAAAGAUGAAACAAGAUUGGCCAUAGGGAAGCUGGUUGUUAAGUACAGG
rnacentral:lncRNA from 1 species